rnacentral:lncRNA from 1 species
CAGUAUUUAUUAAAUAUACUAGGUGGCAAUGGCCUGUGCCAGCACAUGCCCAACAUGAAUUUAGUUUUAUUUUUCACUUGCGAUGAUGAUAGUAGAUACAGUACUUCGUAUUGAAAUCAAAAUAGAUGACCAUAAUCCAAAAGAGUUUUUAUACAACAUGAGCAUAAUUUUGCUCUUCCAACUCUACUUGUGCUCUAUUUCAACUUGCUACUUGAUGCAAGGAUAUCUUGUUAGCCACCUUCCGAUGAGCUCUAUAAUUGCUCAAUAGUGUUUGUUAUUAGGUUGCAUUCAACUCAAUUCAGGACCACCUUCUUUCCUUGACAGAAGACUUGAUAGUGAUGCUGCAACACAGAAAAUGAAUUAUACCAAAUGGAUAUUGAAAGCAGCAGAGCAAAAUGAUAAAACCUCCAUAGUAGAGAUUGCCAAGGUUUCCAAGUACAAAUGACCAAUGAAAUCUUUUUCUGGCCAGCAUAAGUUAAUAAUCAAAUGGGUAAUAUAUUUGAAAACACAACAACAUACCUAUCCUUUGCCAGCAAGGAGAUAUGUCGAAAAGAGCGGGCAGCUUCUUUCCUUAUACAUAAUAGAAAUGCAGAUUGUCAAUACUAACUACGCCUCUUAAACAAAAUAAAACUUAUCAAGUUAAAAGUAGCCAAAGACCCACAGACCUCACAAAUUUCAAUGUCUAAAGUAGACAAAGCAACAACUACUGCAAAGAAUAAGAAGCUAUAAAUGUUUUGAAUUGUUUUGAGAUUCCCUUCCAAGAAGGUUUUGAUCAACAAAAAGGUAAUCUUCCCCUUCCAAGAUUUUUAGAGACCUCUUGCUGGACUAAGCAAUUUUAGUAUACUUUUCGAUAAGGUAAUAAGCGAUUUUAAAUACAUUUCCUCAGAUCCUUCAAAACAGUAAGCUCUAAAACAUGCUCUUCUAAUCUUUCAAUGUAUUACCGAGUCCAACGGCGAGCAAUGAUGAAAAAUUAGAGAUAAACCAAGUGUACUGGAAUAUAAUCAUUGAAAAAAUUACGCCCACUUCAUAUAAUUUCUCUAUAAGUAUUUUUCCUUCAUUUGGCAUAAUGGCUCUUAAGCAUUAUAGUGUCCUUCAAGUAACCCAAUUUGAUCUCAUGCAUGAUCCAUGUUCACUUGAAUAUUAUUCAGAUUUAUGCUAAGGUCCGAAAAUUUGACUCAAGAAUAGUUGGAUAACAUGAUAUGUAAAACGCUUCAUUUUUAUUUAUUGUUGAAAUACCUUGAUACACGAGGCUCUAUGCACUACAUCAUCUUUGAUUUUGUCGGAUCCAUACAUUUGAUUUACAUCGUGCUGGAACUUUUUUAACUGCAAAAGGAAAAAGAAACUUUUGGUUAAUUCAUCUGCAAGUAAGAAGUUGAAGGAAGCGUUAAACAAUAGCAUUACAGCUAUAGUUACUACAAAAGUACAAAUUACAUAGAAUUCUUCGCUUUUGCAUUGAUAUACUUUUAUUCUUUCUGUUCAACAAUAUCAUUAUUAAGAAAACAAUCAUUUUUUUUAAUGUCGAAAAGAAGGCUUUUGGCCUAUCUUGUUUUAAUUCCAUACUUCCUACAAUGCAAUAAGAAAUUUAAGAUGCAAUGUUUUACCAUAACAUAACAGAUUCCAGGAGCAACCCAUAGUAGAUACCUGAUCGAAGAAGAUAUUCGUCGUAACUCCAAUAAUCAUAAAAGGUACCGAUGUUGUCAAUAUAUCAAUAUCCUUGAGAAAAAAGUGAAACUCCCUUCUAAGAGAAUGCAUAGCUCUCAUAGACUGUUUAGGCAAAAGAAUCUUUUAGCAGUAUUUAUCUCUUUCAACUUUAGCGGUGUUCACAAGCUGGAAAAAAAGAGAUGAAAACUAUUACUGUUCUGACAGAGGAAUUUAUGACUGAUCGAACUUGAGAAGAUGGAGCAAUCAAUUAUUUAAUAGCAUAUAAAAAGGUCCAACUUAUAUCUUUCUUGUCAAAAAGGGAUCACUGAAACUAAGAUCAGCAACUAUAGCUAACAUUGGGUACAAGCAAUAUAAAAUUAUGCAAAAUAUAAGUAUAUUCCUAGUUUAGGCUCCAUUAAAAGCUUUGUUAAAUAAUGUCCCGUUAAAGAACCAAAAGGCAAGGAAAAGUUAGACCAAUAAAAUGCUUAGACUUGAAUACGAAUACAUGAUUUAAUACCAAUCAAAUUUUUAUAUCCCUCAACAUUCAGAUUUCUACGUUUAUAUAAAGUAUCAAUGAAUUUUUCAAUACUGAAUAGCCUUUUGAACCUACCAGCAAAGAGGAAGAGAAAAACUUCGCUGACAGAGGUAAACAAAGAAUAAGCUUCUAUACUUAAUAAAAACACUAAUAGUAUCAGAAUCUCUACGCACAACAAAAAAGUCAAAAUAAGAACGAAAAUAAAGAAACAAUAGAUGAUGAGCCUCUUUGUGCUAGACAAUAUUGAGAGAAUAGCAAACCAAAAAGCAGAACACCCAGCCGAGAAAAUGAAAAAAAAAAUAAUAAUAAGAUGAAGAGAACUGAAAGGCUUCUUUACAGGAGUGAAGAAGGUGAGAAGGCAUUUAGCAGAAAAUGGGAACAAAGAAUGAGGAAAAGCUUAUUUGGUGUGUCUUUUGGAUAAAAGACAUGUGGAGUCACGUGCAGUGACCACCUAACAAUUGUAGGAACAAAUGGAAAGGACACCUAAUGGAAAGGACCAAAAGUUUAGCAUUUGCAAAUUUACUCGUGAGGGACCACGACAACUGAAGGGCAAAUGAGAUAAAGUCAAAAAUGUCAUCACCUUUUGUCUUAAUUACAGAUAACCACACAAGUCGAAACCUUCUCUUUUCUAUAUAUAUUAAAUUUAUAAAUUUCAUAUUCUUUUUGUGGGGCGGUGCUUUAAAGCAGUUAUACGUAAUUAAAUUUAAAUCACAUUCAUUUCAUGAUGAGUCAGUUCAUAUCAAAGGUACACGAGCGCCACGAUUGGAAGGUUUCAAGUUUCAACAUACAGUACAUUUUGCAUUUUUCUAGCUUGGCAAUCAUAAGAACAAUUUUCUUUCUAUGUGAAGCAAUCAACUCUCCAUGUGCAUAAAAAAGUUCGUACAUGAAGUGUGAAGCUAAAAUAUAUUGGUUAGAAGAGCCAAUUGCGCUUAAGUGUCAUCUGUCUACAAUAGUCUGAUAACUCUUCUCCAGUCUUCCAAUACUGGACGGCAUUCUACUGGAUAUGCCCACAACAACCUCUGGAAGUUAAACUUCAAUUCCAGAAUCAAAUAAGUAGAAACAACAAUGUCAAUGACUAUAUCCGUCAUGCUUAAUAUCUUAGCAAAUUUCGCCAUCAUAAUCCUACAAGUCAAAACCACACAAACAGAAUUGCCUCAUGUAUAGAUAUUAGACAAGUAAAAAGACUCUAACUGCAGUAUCUUAGUUGAGGAAAUAAUUCAUCUAGCAGAAAACAAAUGGUAACACAAAGGGUUGCCAAAACAAAGCUCGACAAAUCACUUUGGUUUCCAAGCAAAUUAAUCACAAAUAAGUCAAAAACUCAGGCUUUUCUCUGUCAGUAAGCAAGUCAAUACCCUUUCUUUGUUCAGUAUGGUGCAAAAGACCAAAGACAUACCAAUGCUUUUAGCUAUAGAGAAAACUAAAAUUCUAGUAUUCGUUUUAUAUUUACUAAUACUAAUAUAUUCAAAGAUUUACACCAAAAGUACAAAAAAUAAAGCAAGAUAUUCAGAUGUUGAAGUAAAGUUUUGCCACCAUCAAAGCAUCUUCUAUCUCUCCUUUCUCAACGGAUUAAUCUUAGACAAACCUAAGCUAUCGUGUGCUGCAGUUUGCUUCUUAGCAUAUACGUCUUGUUUAAGAAUUUCUCCCUCAGUUCAUACCCUUUCUAGGAAAGUCAUAAGCUUUUUUGUCAAUAGAAUAACUCAUUUAGAAGGCAGACAUCUAGAGCUUUAACAUAACAUAUUUAAUUACUCAAAUACGCGGAGAAAAUAUGACCAAUAUCUUGACAUAAACCAAGAGGUCUCCAGCCUAACCGAAAUUGAAAUAUUAUCCAUAUUUUAAUGGAAGUGAAAUAGUGCUCCAUAAUGAAUUAAACAUGGAUAACCAUAACAAAAAAAAUACAAUAUGGGCAUAAUAUGGCACUUUCUGUACAAUAUGUGUGGAAGAGGACAUACGAAUAGUGUAUGGAUCUAGAAAUAUUGUCCAACCACCAUUAACUAUUAUAAAUACAAUACCCAAAUGCAUAGGAAUUGUUUAUAUUUUCAAGCACACAAGCACAACCUAACCAUCAGCAAUGAGUAACUUGCUAUAGAACCCAACUUGGUAGCCAACCUCUGACAUUCCAAAAUAUCAUUCAACUAUGAGAAGACUUAUAUUACCACUUUUAUACCUUCAGAAAACAAAUAAACACCAAUCAAUUAUGAAAAUACAGGUGAAUCAACCCUUUUUACCCGCAUUGGAUCCCUUUUACUCUUCAACCAAGCUACCCUUCUUUGUUUUUAUUCACAGACAUUCUAUUUACCCCUCUAUUUCUAGGCCUUUCUCUUAACUUUUUAUGAUUGUUGGUAGUUUCUUUUGAUUUUCUCUAUAGCUAGUGUUAUAUGGGUUUACUGCUUUGUCAUCUUUAACUUAUUCGAUGAAGUGCAGGAUAAUGCUUUUAUUUAACCCUGGCAAAGGGGAAAAGACACUUCUUUAUCUUGAGACUCUUAGGUAAACAAAUAUAUUUCAGUUUUGUUUUAGAAUGAACUCGGUCAAGGAUGGUAAAUACCAAUCAUUUUCCAUUCUCAGGUUUCUCAUUAUGCGAGAGUCUAUCACUUCUCAUUUUUCUGGGAUGUCUGUUAUUCCUUAUUUACAUCUUUUUCGUUCCUUUUUUAUAUUUGUUGGUGCACAAUUCAUAAUAUCUCGUAUUUGUCUUUGGCUUUUGUUAUAAUAUACACAUAUACAAGAAGUAUAAUUGAAGUUCUUGGAAUUAUUCGACAUAAUUUCAAUUUAUCGUUUGUACAAAAAUGCUCUUUUACUAAAUGUUUUGGUAUCCUUUUAGUGUUGGAGAUCUACUAAAUAUUUACGACACGCAACAUAAAAUCCCUCAAGAUAGCACCAAUUAGAGAAGAGAUCGUAUAAUCUCCCAUGUCAGUACUCUUAUCAAUUUGAAGCAUUUGCAAGUUCAAGUUAUAUACGUGCAUAAAAUCUCUCCUCUCUUCUAGUAAUUCAGAAACUUGAUGUAAGCACAUGAACCAUGCAGCUAUUUCCAAAGCAAUUUUCGCCUAAGUUGCUCGGACUCUUCACUUUCAGUGCCGCACCCGUGUCGACACGACGUGGGUGUGGGUAUGGGUGUGGGAUCCGUGUCGGAUCUGGUCAACCGAUUUUGGGUACUUUGACCAAAAUCAACAGAGAAAUUUGGGACAUAUACAAUGAUUUUUGAAAACAAAUCAAAAGCUAGGGUGAUAUGGAAGAAAAUGGAAUACCUUGUAUAUAUAAAUUUCUAUGUCAGUCCUUUUCCUUUUAUCUCCUUCUAAAAUUCUACUCUUGUUCAAUAUUUUCUCCUUCUCGGAAUACCUUGUAAGUUUUUCACAUAAUGUCUCAUAAUUUAGACAUAUUUUUAUAACUCUAUUUUUAAAUAAUUGAAUUAUUUUUAGCCGAAUCCCCGCACCCGUAUCCGUACCUGGAUCCAUACCCCCGAAUCUUUAAAUUUAGAUCAUGAAGGAUCUGACCUCUAGAUCCGCACCCGUAUCGGACACCCGCACCCGAGUCCGAGCAACUUAGAUUUUCGCUAAUCGCAUUGACUUAAAGUUACCAGGAGUUCGAACAAGCAAGAACACCAAAGUGGCAAACCAUUAAAAGAGAGAUGCAAAUAAUGAAGUCGUAAACAUAUCAAUCAGAUAGGAGACUCAACACAACCUCCGCGUAGGAGCAACUAUGACUAUUCAAUCCAGUAACUUUGAAACGCUAAUAUGAAACUAAAAUACGCAAACUUCACUGUAUUUAGCAACAAAUCAAACAGAAAUUCAAGGAUAAAAUCUGACCAAAAGCUUCAUUGCUCACCUGUUAAUCAGGCUAAGUGUUUCUUUUCCAUGUUCUCCACUUGAGUCUCCCUUAAUCCUGAUAAAAGAAAAGAAAUGCAAUACCUGAAGAAUAUAUAAAAGAAGAGGAAGAGAGAGAUAGAGGGUAAAAGAAAGAGAGAUAUUGAAUGUGAAAGAAAUUAGUAAAUGAUAAUUUUACUGAAAGUGAAAUGAAAGACUGUCAUUUUACUUACCCGCUACGAACUUGUAAAAGCAUGACUUUAAAGUAAAAUAUAUGUUGUUUGGAUGUGACUUUGUGUUUAGACAAGAAGCUUCCUAAAUAUUUUAGGAUCAAUUCUCCGUUUUCAUAAUUCUUGGCUACAAGUUCAUUUUAGUUUAUUCAAUUCCGCCACUUAAAACAAAAUAGAGCUUUUAGACAAAUAAAUUUUAAAUUUAGAAAUUGGGUAAACAAUGCUUAAACUACAUUUGGAAUUGCUCAGUAGUUAUUACUUUUCUUGUUUCUAUCCACUUUUUUAACCGAGACAAUGAAAUCUGCACAUCAAAAUAAAAACGCUUUUCAGGACAUUCAAAGCAGAUAAAAUACAUUAACAAACUCAGAACAUGUAAACUAAAUGGUUCCUUGAUUCUAAUUUGAUCAGAAAAAAUAUUCUCUGCCAUACACAAAUUCAACUUAAACAUUCGAUUGAAUAGACUAAUUAAUUGGAAUUUAAGGGGAUAUUUUAACUCAAUUAUUUAAUGGGUAGAUAAAAAAAAGAUAUUUAGAAAUUAAAAUCCACACUUUGAGUAAUAGUAAAAUUUUUGGAAUGGCUUGAAUUUUAUAACUUUCGUCCCAUUAACUAAAACACAGAAAUAUAAUAAUAGACACACAGUUAAAAUUGAAAACAUGCGAGUUGGAAUGAACUGCUAGCAAGCUUAUUUUUCCUCUUCUCGAAUCUAUCGUGUACAGGGCUCAACUACAAAAAAGAUCAAAUAGCUCAAGGCCAUCAACUCAAUCAUAGUAGCUAAAACUAUCCAUACCCAGAUUUAAAUAUGAGAAGCGAGAAAUAAGGCCAAGAAACGCAUACCAUUUUCAGAAUUUCACCAAAUCUUGAUUAUGGCGGAAGAUGAAUUAAUCGGUGAAUCUCCACGAUUUUGUGUGCUUGCCAGAAAGUCUUUGAUGCCAUAGAGUCAGAACUUUGUAUAGAAAUGAUUUAACAUGACAAAACAUUCCAAAAAAUUAAACGAACAAACAAAGUAAAUAGCAGAGAGGAUGCUAAAACUCAAGAGCAAUUAACAGAACUAAUAAAGGUAGAGGGAGUUCUAACCAAAUAAGAUAGGGAAGAUGCUAGAGUAGGAGAGAGAGAGAAGUGGAG